rnacentral:rRNA from 1 species
GACGAACGCUGGCGGCGUGCUUAACACAUGCCAGUCGAACGGAAAGGCCUGCUUUCCCUUGUGGAUUGCGGGUACUCGAGUGGCGAACGGGUGAGUAACACGUGAGUGAUCUGCCCCCAACUUGGGUAUAAGCCUGGGAAACUGGGUCUAAUUCCCGAUAGGACUGCAGGGUGGUGCCUGUGGUGGAAAACGAUUUUCUAGUGGUUGGGGAUGAGCUCGCGGCCUAUCAGCUUGUUGGUGGGGUAAUGGCCUACCAAGGCGGGGACGGGUAGCCGGCCUGAGGGGGUGGACGGCCACAUUGGUACUGAGAUACGGCCCAGACUCCUACGGGAGGCAGCAGUGGGGAAGAUUGGACAAUGGGCGGAAGCCUGAUGCAGCGACGCCGCGUGGGGGAUGACGGCCUUCGGGUUGUAAACUCCUUUCGACCGCGAGGAAGCCACCUGGUUGGAAGGGUGGUGACGGUAGUGGUAGAAGAAGCACCGGCUAACUACGUG